rnacentral:rRNA from 1 species
UACGUAGGGGGCUAGCGUUGCCCGGAUUUAUUGGGCGUAAAGAGCGUGUAGGCGGCCAGGUAGGUCUGCUGUGAAAACUCGAGGCUCAACCUCGAGACGUCGGCGGAAACCAUCUGGCUAGAGUCCGGAAGAGGAGAGUGGAAUUCCUGGUGUAGCGGUGAAAUGCGCAGAUAUCAGGAAGAACACCCGUGGCGAAGGCGGCUCUCUGGGACGGUACUGACGCUGAGACGCGAAAGCGUGGGGAGCGAACAGG